rnacentral:misc_RNA from 1 species
UUGGCUAUCAUCUUUCAUAGCUACAAUUACAGACAUUUGAUGCACCCUUAUAUCGUUUUAGCACUAUAUUGCUCGCACACAUACCUUGAAUUAGAAAUUGUGCUAGCCAUAACUGCUAACCCAGCUCGAGCACUCCUUGGUUUCGAGCUCGAUCCACAGUUCAACUAGCUUUACCUUUCCUCCUCACUGCAAGACUUGUGG